GUCCACGCCGUAACGAUGGGUGCUAGAUGUAGCUGGUAUUGACCCCGGCUGCGUCGUAGCUAACGCGUUAAGCACCCGCCUGGGAGUACGGCCGCAAGGCUAAACUCAAAGGAAUUGACGGGGCCCGGCACAAGCGGUGGAGCAUGUGGUUCAAUUCGACGCAACGCGAAGAACCUUACCUGGGUUGGAACCCUCCAGAAGUCCUUAGAGAUGAGGAUGUGCCCGCAAGGGAACUGAUGUCCAGGUGCUGCAUGGCUGUCGU
rnacentral:rRNA from 1 species